rnacentral:rRNA from 1 species
UACGGAGGGUGCAAACGUUGCUCGGAAUCAUUGGGCGUAAAGCGCACGUAGGCGGUUUGGCAAGUCGGGUGUGAAAUCCCUCGGCUUAACCGAGGAAGUGCAUUCGAAACUACCAAGCUUGAAUACUCAAGAGGGUCUCGGAAUUCCCGGUGUAGAGGUGAAAUUCGUAGAUAUCGGGAGGAACACCAGUGGCGAAGGCGGAGACCUGGGGAGAUAUUGACGCUGAGGUGCGAAAGCGUGGGGAGCAAACAGG